ACGUUAUUGCUUAAAAAUAAAUAAAUAAUGGGGGGAAUCGGACUGCCAGCGCUACGAUUAGUGGACAAGCCGCUCUCCCACCUGAUCCACACACACAGUCGUCUCAGAGAGUGAUUCGUUCAUUUCUGUCCGCGCAUGCGCUGAAACAUCUCCAUAGGUUCUGUACCGGAAACAGACGUUAUUAUUUCAUCUCUCGAGUCUUCGGGUUCGAGUCUUUCGUUCUCCCGGUGACCGCCGCAUAGGCAAUGCACCAUGCAGUAGUGAAAACAGGAUGAACGAAGAGCUCGGACCGGAAGACUCGAGAGGUGAAGUAAUCAUUUCUGAAAGAAGGAGUCGUAUCAGGAGGGACUACUGAACAGACAUUUACAUGUAUAAAGCUGCGUGCAGAAAAUGAAGAAUUGUUUACAGACGCAAAGAAUUCUGCAGCUGAAGGUUUCAGGACGCCUGUGAGGAGUAAAUUCAACCUCCUAUUGGUAACUCAGAGUUAACUCGCGCACACGUUGAGGACAUAAAGACAUUGUCAAUGGAUUGCUGAUAUCAGGGGUCACCAUGGAAACCCAGGGUGCAAUCCUUCUGGACCCAGAAGAACUUGGAGCCGAGUCAAAAUGAAGCACAAAAACAUUCUCCAAAAAGGUAAUAUUUCCUAAGCUGUAAUCUAAAUAACUGUCCCAACCAUUAUCUUCACUCACUCCGACUGAGCAGCUGUAAGCUCCUUUUAUUUGACUGCAUUAAGGUGUGUACUGUCAUCUUAACUGUAAAUGUCCUUUACGUCUUUCUAUAUUAGUUGCAUUUGUUUGAGAACGUACAUUGAGAAUCUAACUGGUUUCAUUUUCUUACAAUUGUCUAACACAUUGUAUUAACUGACCCUUUUGCAACAGCACAGCCUGCCACAGUUGUAAGUGAUUCUUGUCCUCAGGUACCACUUCAGGUAAUAUUGGCACCCUUGAUAAAUAUGUGCAAAGAAGGCUGUGUCUUUUUAUUGUUUAACCUUUUGAUCUUUUGUUUAAAAAAAAAACAAACACAAAAAAUACUCUGCUCUCAUGGGCAUCAAACAUCAAAAAAUGUUACAUAUAGGUAUGCAACAAUUAUUGGCACCCUUUUAGGCAAUACUUUGUACUUCCUCUCUCUGCCAAGAUAACAGCUCUGAGUCUUCUCCUAUAACGCCUGAUGAGGUUGGAGGAUACAUGGCGAGGGAUCUGAGAGCGUUCCUCCAUACAGAAUCUCUCCACAUCCUUCACAUUUCGAGGUCCACGCUGGUGGACUCUCCUCUUCAGUUCACCACACGGGUUUUCUAUGGGGUUCAGGUCAGGGGACUGGGAUGGUCAUGGCAGGACCUUGAUUUUGUGGUCAGUAAACCAUUUCUGUGUUGAUUUUGAUGAUGUUUUGGAUCAUUGUCCUGCUGGAAGAUCCAACCACGGCCCAUUUGAAGCUUUCUGUCAGAGGCAGUCAGGUGAUGCCAUGUAUCGUAACAAAAUGUCCAGGUCCUCUGGCAGAAAAACAGUCCCAAAACAUUAAAGAUCCACCUCCAUAUUUAACUAUGGGCAUGAGGGACUUUUCCAUAUGGCUACCUCUCUGUGUGCUCCAAAACCACCUCUGUGUUUAUUACCAAAAAGCUCUAUUCUGGUUUCUCUUCCCAUAGAACCCGAUCCCAUUUGAAGUUCCAGUAGUGUUUAAUGUUUCAGUGCCAUGUUUCUCAAAUGAUAAAUGUGCAGUUUUAGAGAUGUUACUUACAUAGGUCUCAAAUGAUAAGUCUGUGACUAGAUGUAAAAUUACACCAAUGACCUUAAGUGUACACUGAAAUAUUUAUUGAAAAAUUGAUAGUAACUUAUUGGCAAUUUUAGUUGCCAGUAAGACUGUAAAUAAAUAAGAACACUGUAAAUCAUUAACAUACAUCUGUACUGUAAAAACACAGCAUACUGCUGUAUAUGUACACUAUAAAAUUACAGUAGAAAUAAGGUAUGUUUACGAUAAAUGUCACUGAAAUUGCGAGAGCAACUGUGAAUUUAUAUAAACUGGGAGAUUCAUGCGACUAACUGAGAGAACAUGCGACUAAUGGGUGUUUCUUGUUACCCAGGUGUGUCCUGUUAGAUUGAGUUUUUAAACAAUAAAUAGCUCUGAACAUC